GUCCAGCUGACGAAUCCCAAAUAGAACGAAACGCGUGUCCUGGAU
rnacentral:hammerhead_ribozyme from 1 species